GGUCCCAUAGCUCAGUUGGUUAGAGCGUCGUACUAAUACACCUCCCUCUUUCGAGAUGUGAUCUGUAUCAAGUAAAUGCGAAGGUCUUGGGUUCAACCCCCAAUGGGACCA